GUGAGUGGGUCGCACGGAGCGUCAUUUGGAAUUCCCAUGGCUGACGAAACGUUCACUCUGCUCUUCUCGAUUACAG
ensembl:ncRNA mir-3642 mir-3642 stem loop